rnacentral:rRNA from 1 species
CACGUAGGCGGCUUUGUAAGUCGGACGUGAAAGCCCCGGGCUUAACCUGGGAAUUGCAUCCGAAACUGCAUGGCUAGAGUAAAGGAGAGGGAAGUGGAAUUUCCGGUGUAGCGGUGAAAUGCGUAGAUAUCGGAAGGAACACCAGUGGCGAAGGCGACUUCCUGGCCUAUUACUGACGCUGAGGUGCGAAAGCGUGGGGAGCAAACA